GUAGUCUCGCACAGAUGCAUAUCAAUAAGCGGAGGAAAAGAAACUAACAAGGAUUCCCUUAGUAACGGCGAGUGAAGCGGGAAGAGCUCAAAUUUGAAAUCUUCAAGGUUUUACCUUGGACGAAUUGUAGUUUAAAGAAGUGUUUUCUGUUGAAGUUUUGGUAAAAGUUCUUUGGAAUAGGACAUCAUAGAGGGUGAGAAUCCCGUAUUUGACCAUUACUUUCAGCUGUGUGAUACACUUUCAAAGAGUCGGAUUGUUUGGGAAUGCAGUCCAAAAUGGGUGGUAAAUUUCAUCUAAAGCUAAAUAUUGGCGAGAGACCGAUAGUGAACAAGUACCGUGAGGGAAAGAUGAAAAGAACUUUGAAAAGAGAGUUAAACAGUACGUGAAAUUGUCAAAAGGGAAGCGUUUGACACCAGUGUUGUUUUCUCGAAAAUCAAUUAAAAAGAGUUUAGAUUUUGUUGUGUAUUGACCUUAACAGCUUGCAUUUCAAUUUUCUUGCUUUUUUUAAUGCACUUUUCGUUUAACAAGUCAACAUCAGUUUCUUUUGUUGUAAAAAGGUCAUUGGAAGGUGGCUUUCUUUUCGGAGAAAGUGUUUAUAGCCUUUGACUCCUGCAAUCGGAGAGACUGAGGUCUGCAGCGUAGAUCCUUCGGGGUUAGAUACAUUUGUGCUAAGUUAUAGCUUUUUAUAGACAACUUGUUGACUAUGAUUAGUCUUGUAGCUUACUCGCUUAUGCUAUUUUACCUACGCUUAGGAUGUUGAGCGCAUGUCUCUCUCU
rnacentral:rRNA from 1 species